UACGUAGGGUGCGAACGUUAAUCGGAAUUACUGGGCGUAAAGCGUGCGCAGGCGGUGAUGUAAGACAGUUGUGAAAUCCCCGGGCUCAACCUGGGAACUGCAUCUGUGACUGCAUCGCUGGAGUGCGGCAGAGGGGGAUGGAAUUCCGGCGUGUAGCAGUGAAAUGCGUAGAUAUGCGGAGGAACACCGAUGGCGAAGGCAAUCCCCUGGGCCUGCACUGACGCUCAUGCACGAAAGCGUGGGGAGCAAACAGG
rnacentral:rRNA from 1 species